rnacentral:rRNA from 1 species
GAUGAACGCUGGCGGCGUGCCUAAUACAUGCAAGUCGAACGAAAAGACGAGGAGCUUGUGGCGCGCUCGAGUGCCGAAGGCGGGAGUAACACGUGAGUAUCCUGUACCUGUCUGUGUGAGAUCUCUACGAGACUGGGGCGCAUACCGCGUAGGAUCUCCUGCUCCGCGUGGGGGGUUGGAAAGUUUCGGUGGUUGGGGAACGAAUGGCGGCUUAUCAGCUGGAUGGGGUGGUAGGGGCUUACCAAGGCUUUGACGGGUACCAGGCAUGAGAGGGUUACCGGCCACAUUGGGACUGAGAUACGGCCCAGACUCCUACGGGAGGCAGCAGUGGGGAAUAUUGCACAAUGGGCGGAAGCCUGAUGCAGCAACGCCGCGUGCGGGAUGACGGCCUUCGGGUUGUAAACCGCUUUCGCAUGUGACGAAGCGUGAGUGACGGUAAUGGGUAAAGAAGCACCGGCUAACUACGUG